GAAACGGUUCACGCUAAUACCGUGGACUACUGACGGUACUCACAGAAGAAGCACCGGCUAACUACGUGCCAGCAGCCGCGGUAAUACGUAGGGUGCAGGCGUUAAUCGGAAUUACUGGGCGUAAAGCGUGCGUAGGCGGUCUGUAAAGUCAGAUGUGAAAGCCCCGGGCUCAACCUGGGAAUUGCAUUUGAAACUGGCAGGCUAGAGUGUGGUAGAGGGGGGUGGAAUUCCACGUGUAGCAGUGAAAUGCGUAGAGAUGUGGAGGAACACCGAUGGCGAAGGCAGCCCCCUGGGCCAACACUGACGCUGAGGCACGAAAGCGUGGGGAGCAAACAGGAUUAGAUACCCUGGUAGUCCACGCCCUAAACUAUGUCAACUAGUUGUUGGGAGAGUUAAAUCUCUUAGUAACGCAGCUAACGCGUGAAGUUGACCGCCUGGGGAGUACGGCCGCAAGGUUAAAACUCAAAGGAAUUGACGGGGACCCGCACAAGCGGUGGAUUAUGUGGAUUAAUUCGAUGCAACGCGAAAAACCUUACCUACCCUUGACAUGUACGGAACGGGGCAGAGACGUCCCGGUGCCCGAAAGGGAACCGUAACACAGGUGCUGCAUGGCUGUCGUC
rnacentral:rRNA from 1 species